rnacentral:rRNA from 1 species
AAUGAACGCUGGCGGUAUGCCUAACACAUGCAAGUCGAACGACAACACAAUAAGAUCUUUCUCUUACGGUUGGCGAGUGGCGGGCGGGUGACGAAUACAUCGGAAUCUACUUUUUCUUGGGUGAUAACGUAAGAACAGUUACGCUAAUACCGCAUACUUCCUACGGCUUGAAUCGGUGGUUCUUCAUGCCUUUCGCGAUUGUAUUAGCCGAUGUCGGAUUAGCUAGUUGGCUGGGUAAGGUCCCACCAAGGCGACGAUACGUAGCUGAGCUGAGAGGGUGAUCAGCCACACUGGAACUGAGACACGGUCCAGACUCCUACGGGAGGCAGCAGUGGGGAAUAUUGGACAAUGGGCGAAAGCCUGAUCCAGCCAUGCCGCGUGGGUGAAGAAGGCCUUCGGGUUGUAAAGCCCUUUUGUUGGGAAAGAACAGCAGUAGGUUAAUACGUCGAUGUUCUGACGGUACCUAAAGAAUAAGCAACGGCUAACUACGUG